rnacentral:lncRNA from 1 species
AAAAAAGAAAAAGAUAGUUAUGUUAAAUUUUUUUAUCCGAGAAAAAUAACUUGAUUUUUAUACGAAAUAAAUAUAUUUCGUGAGCGACUUGCCUUCCCAGAAGUAAGGACUCUCUCAGCUGAGAUAAGCAAUACUUCAAAACUAUUCUAGGCCUCUUGAUAAUUAUCAAAGUUAUUUUUUAGCAGAUUUUAAUUAUAGUAAAUAAUAUUUAAUUCUAAUAAUUAUCAAAAUAAAAUUCAAUCAUCGUAAUCGGUUUAAUGAACUUCUGCACCCACCCCAGGUUGUAAGUAUAUAAAUAUAUAGAUGUUUGUGUUUGUGCAGGAUAGCUUAAACGGGUUAAACCUCAUUCAAGGCAAACAUGCUCUUACAUAUAUUUUCUUUGAUUAAAACACACAGACAAAUAGACGAACAAAUUUAUUUGGUACACAAAAAUUCUACGUGUAGUCGUACCACCUAACACCCUUACUACUUAUUUGUCGCUUUGAAGCUAUUCUUUAGCUGGAUCAUUCAUAAUUCUAGAAAUUCAUUAAAGACUAGAGAUAUCUGGAAAUGAAUGUAACAUUGAGCACGGUGUUUUUUUCACAAGAGAUUACAUAGAGUUGUUCAACUUGCUUUUUUUUUUUAUAAACCCCCUAUUCCCUUCAGUAUUUAGCUCGUUGUUGUUUGAGUGCAAUGAGUCAGGAGCAAUUAGCCAGACAAGCCUACAGCAAGAAGUAGAAGAGGUUCGUCAACAGAUGGAAUAUGUGCGAAAUGGAUUGAUAGAAGAAUUACUACAAGAAAACAAUGUACUCAAUGUUGAACAGCUUGAACCGACAUAAUAAGAACUAAUUAGAAUUCGGGACUCUAACCAUGAGGAUUCCUUAUUGUUGCUGGCAGAUACUGAGCCUGAGAAUAGGAUGACAAUUGGAAUACCAUUAAGUAAAAGUUUUUGUCCUGAGAUUAUUCAAGAUAUAAAAUACAUACUAUUGAGUUAUCUAAUGCCUCUACCGUUGAGAAUAGUGAAGUGAAAAACUCACUCAAUAACUUUUUACGACACUGGGCUUUGAAACACUAUAUUAAACACUCGGUACUUGAUGAUCUUUUUGUUAUUUCUUAUUUAUAUUAUAUUCUUAUAUAGUUUGUAUAUGCUAUUCUUUUAUGAAUACACAAGUUAUUAUUUCAGUAUUGGUGUUAUAUGUACUUUUAUAUGAUGUUAAUAUUUUUAAUUUAAUAAAAUAUAAUAUUGCGGUA